rnacentral:misc_RNA from 1 species
AACACUGUUAACCUGCGGUACCUGCGGAGGGAUCAUUACCGAGUUUACAAACUCCCAACCCUAUGUGAACCUUACCAAUCGUUGCUUCGGCGGGCUUAGCCCCCGCGCCCUCGCCGGCGCCGGGAGAAAGGCGCCCGCCGGGGACCCCAAACCCAAUGUUUUUCAUGCAGUAUUUCUGAGUGGCAAACGCAAAAAUAAAUCAAAACUUUUAGCAAUGGAUCUCAGAUCGGAAGAGCACAC